rnacentral:rRNA from 1 species
UACAGAGGGUGCAAGCGUUAUCCGGAUUUACUGGGUUUAAAGGGUGCGUAGGCGGUCAGGUAAGUCUGUAUUGAAAUCAUCUCGCUUAACGAGAUAAUUGGUACGGAUACUGCUUGACUUGAAACAAGCUGAGGUUAGCGGAAUGUGACAUGUAGCGGUGAAAUGCUUAGAUAUGUCAUAGAACACCAAUUGCGAAGGCAGCUGACUAGACUUUGUUUGACGCUGAGGCACGAAAGCGUGGGUAUCGAACAGG